rnacentral:tRNA from 1 species
GGAAGAGGAUGUCGUCUGGUGGCGGCCGCGGGCUUCAAACCCGUAGGGGGUAUGUACGUGCAUGUCCCGGUGGGUUCGAUUCCCACCCCUUCCGC